CAGUCGCCGCGGUAAUACGGAGGGCGCGAGCGUUACCCGGAUUUACUGGGCGUAAAGGGCGUGUAGGCGGCCUGGGGCGUCCCAUGUGAAAGGCCACGGCUCAACCGUGGAAGAGCGUGGGAUACGCUCAGGCUAGAGGGUGGGAGAGGGUGGUGGAAUUCCCGGAGUAGCGGUGAAAUGCGCAGAUACCGGGAGGAACGCCGAUGGCGAAGGCAGCCACCUGGUCCACUUCUGACGCUGAGGCGCGAAAGCGUGGGGAGCAAACCGGAUUAGAUACCCCCGUAGUCCCUGUCUCUUAUAC
rnacentral:rRNA from 1 species